UGGGCUAGAAAACACAGGAACCCGGGUGAAAACUCGGGGUGCCCUUCGGGGAAUCUGUGGUUAGGUGUUGCAUGGCUGUCGUCAGCUCGUGUCGUGAGAUGUUGGGUUAAGUCCCGCAACGAGCGCAACCCUUGUCGUUAGUUGCCAUCAUUAAGUUGGGCACUCUAACGAGACUGCCGACCUUCAAGUCGGAGGAAGGUGGGGAUGACGUCAAGUCCUCAUGGCCCCUAUGUCCAGGGCUACACACGUGCUACAAUGGUCGGUACAAAGGGCUGCUAAGCCGCGAGGUGGAGCUAAUCCCAAAAAACCGACCUCAGUACGGAUUGGAGUCUGCAACUCGACUCCAUGAAGGCGGAAUCGCUAGUAAUCCCUGAUCAGCAUGGCAGGGGUGAAUACGUUC
rnacentral:rRNA from 1 species